rnacentral:miRNA from 1 species
GAAUAUCAAUCAAUCUCGUUCCCAGAGUAUGCCUGUUCGCGGGUUAGGUUGUGGCAUGACCUAACCUGCGAACAGGCAUACUCUGGGAACGAGAUUGAUCUGUUUUCUU